rnacentral:rRNA from 1 species
AUGUCGGGAUCCAACCUCUCCGACCGGUCCGCUGCCUCCACUCCUCCGGUUGUGAAGCCACCGAAUCCCUUCGACUCUUCCGCCGGCUCCUCCGCCGCCACCCUUCCCGAUCCUGCCUACAUCCGCGAUGUUCCCAUCGAACGCCGCGUUCCGGUUAUCCUCUCCCACAAAGAGGCAAAUUUUUAUGCUUGGAAGACAUACUUCAAUCUCCUCUUUCGUGAGUAUAACCUGCAGGACCACAUCGACGGCACCGCCAACCUCUUCGUCCUGAACCGUGACGCCGACUGGCUGGCGAUUGACGCCACCAUCAUUAGGUGGCUCUUCCUCACCGUGUCCAAGGACAUCUUCCACACCGUCGUUCACGACAAGGAUGAUGCAUGCACGGUGUGGAACAUGAUCGGCGGCCUCUUCACCGACAACAUGCUCCAACGGAUCGUCUUCAUGCAGCAGGAGUUCUUCGGGUGUCAUCAAAACGACUCCUCCGUCGACGACUUCUGCAUGUGCCUCAAGACCCUCUCCGACGAGCUCAAUGACAUCGGCUUCAAGGUGGGCGACGAGUUGCUCCUCUCCACCCUCAGCGCCGGCCUCAAUGAGGAUCUCGGCAACGCCGCCUCCAACCUCACCCUCAUGGCGAACCCUACCUACAAGCGGGCGGUGGCUUAUCUUCGUCUCGAGGAACGCCGGUUGAAGCAUCUUCGCUCCCGUGCCGUUCACACCGCCUUCACCGCCGGCUACUCGUGCGGUGGCCCCGCGCCCUCAGGCGCGCCCCCGGCUUCCCAGCGCCGUACCAGGCGCCCCGGCCACCGGCUCCUCCUGCGGCUCCUCUUGCGACUCUUCCUCAACAACCGCCGCAGCAGCAGCCCCAGUAGCGGCGCCAGAGGCGCCGCGGCCGCGGCAAAGGCCAGACGCAGCAGCAACAGCCGCGCGCCGGGUCUGUCCAGCAGCAGCCGACGCCGCCUUGGGGGGGGGGGUGGCCACAACCCCUGGACAGGGUUUGUGCACGCCUAUACCAUGCCCGUGCCCCCCCCGCUCCGAGCCUCCUCGGGCCCGGUCCCUCUGGCCAUCAGGCGUUCUUUGCCGGUCCGCAACCCGGUCCGGUCGCUCCACCGGCCUACUACUCUCCUGCUCCGGUUGGCUAUGGCGGGCCAACCACCAACACAGGCGUGA